AUUGAACGCUGGCGGUAUGCUUAACACAUGCAAGUCGAACGGUAAGAGGUCUAGCUUGCUAGAUUUCACGAGUGGCGGACGGGUGAGUAACGCGUAGGGAUCUGUCUAGUAGACUGGGACAACUCGGGGAAACCCGAGCUAAUACUGGAUAAUGUCGAGAGAAGAAAGGGUGGUUUAGGCCAUUUGCUAUUAGGGGAACCUGCGUUGGAUUAGCUAGUUGGUAGGGUAACGGCCUACCAAGGCGAAGAUCCAUAGCUGUCCUGAGAGGAAGAGCAGCCACACUGGGACUGAGACACGGCCCAGACUCCUACGUGAGGCAGCAGUGGGGAAUAUUGGACAAUGGGCGUAAGCCUGAUCCAGCAAUACCGCGUGUGUGAAGAAGGCCCGAGGGUUGUAAAGCACUUUCGGCGAGGGGGAAGGUUAUAUGUUUAAUAGGCAUAUAGUUUGACGUUACUCGAAGAAGAAGCACCGGCUAACUCUGUGCCAGCCGCCGCGGUAA
rnacentral:rRNA from 1 species